rnacentral:rRNA from 1 species
UGGGGAAUAUUGCACAAUGGGCGAAAGCCUGAUGCAGCAACGCCGCGUGAGUGAUGAAGGCCUUCGGGUUGUAAAGCUCUGUCUUUUGGGACGAUAAUGACGGUACCAAAGGAGGAAGCCACGGCUAACUACGUGCCAGCAGCCGCGGUAAUAUGUAGGUGGCAAGCGUUUGUCCGGGAUUUACUGGGCGUAAAGGAUGCGUAGGCGGAUUUUUAAGUGAGAUGUGAAAACCCUAAGCUUAACUUGGGGACUGCAUUUCAUACUGGAAAUCUAGAGUGCGGGAGAGGAGAAUGGAAUUCCUAGUGUAGCGGUGAAAUGCGUAGAGAUUAGGAAGAACACCAGUGGCGAAGGCGAUUCUCUGGACCGUAACUGACGCUGAGGCAUGAAAGCGUGGGUAGCAAACAGGAUUAGAUACCCUGGUAGUCCACGCCGUAAACGAUGAGUACUAGGUGUAGGAGGUAUCGACCCCUUCUGUGCCGCAGUUAACACAAUAAGUACUCCGCCUGGGAAGUACGAUCGCAAGAUUAAAAAC